GUGCUCACUUCGGCAGCACACAUACUAAAAUUGGAAUGAUACAGAGAAGAUUAGCAUGGCCCCUGUGCAAGGAUGACAUAUAAAAUAUUUCAUGUAUUU
rnacentral:snRNA from 1 species